GCUGGGUGUGGUGGCUCACACCUGUAAUCCCAACACUUUGGGAGGCUAAGACAGGUGGAUCACUUGAGGCCAGGAGUUCAAGACCAGCCUGGCCAACAUGGUGAAACCCUGUCUCUA
rnacentral:SRP_RNA from 1 species